CAAACAAACAAACUGGGGAAGAAAGAAAGGUGUGUGUUUGAUAGAAACUGAAAGAAAGAAAGAAAGAAAGAAGGGCAACAGCACCCUGCUGGAGAGCAGAGGAGUUUGUCAGUGCUCCCUCUAGUGUCAGUCUGUGGAACUGCAGCUGGUCAGUAAUGAGAUUGUUCAGUAGCCACUACAGUAAACAGUUUCCUUAGUGGCGUCAUUAAGCGCAUCUGCUUCAGUACAGUGCAGCAUUCCGGUCUCUCUCGCGCUGGUGGGAAGUAAAACUACACCACUGACUCCUGUUUUGGAUAGUUCUUGUUCUUUUUAAAUGUGCAGUGGAAAAACAACAUGUUUUUGAAAGAAAGAAUGAAUGAAAAAAAGAAAAGAUGCUACAUAUUUGAAAGAAAGAAAGAAGGAAGGAAGGGACGGACACUCCACAUAAAUAGAUUAAAACGUGUUGUUAAACGUACAGUUGUAGAUAUGGUGAAACCUUUUGUAAUUUAUUUAUGUGUUAUAAAAAUUAUAGAAAGAGUCUCCACUAGUUUAAUGCUUAGCUGCUCUACUCUAUGGUUGGAUUGUAUUUUGCGUGUAAAUGUAAAAAAAAAUGUUUAAAAAAGUAGCAGAACCAAAGCAGAACUUCCUGUCCAUCUUAUCUACUCUGCCUAUUCUCAGUCACGUCUCUGUAGCUUGCAGCUAAAAACAUCAUAUCGAUGAAACUAAAUCCCAUCCAUCUUAAAUAAUCCCCAUUAUUAAUAUCAACUUUGUAGAUGCACAUGUGUGUGUUACGAACCCUGCUUUCUAGAUUCAUCUGGUCUUCCACUAGAGCACCAGUAUAGAGACCAGUGACACAGAACGUUCUAGGUCAAGCUUGGUCUAAGAGUCUAGCCCACGAAUGUGUAAUAAUCAUCGCUUUCCUAUUGAAGAGGCGGAGUGGAGGCUUGUGAGCGCUUGUGCCUUCUCAGGGUGAUACAGAGCAGCAGCAAAACAUUCUCUUCUAAGAUUAAGUGUACUGCAGUGUACUGUUCUGUCCUAGCACACUUUUCUGUACCCCUUCUCCAUGCUCUCUCUCCUCCACAGCCUGAGCACACUCCCACAUUUCAGCCUUGCACCGAAGACAGCGAGCUCUUCUUCUCACAGGCAGAGCGUUCAGAGAUAUGAGACAGUGUAACAUGUCAAAGCUGAGUCAGAUGCAGACGUCUCCAAACCUCAACACAGGUUUAUUUUUAUUAGAAGCGCUUACUGCUUAUUAGAGUAAACACUUUAUCCUGAUCAGGGUCACGGUGGAUCUGGAGCCUAUCUGGGGAAUACUGUGCACGAGACGGGAAUACACCCUGGACGGGAUGCCAAUCCAUCGCAGGGCAUCGUGCAUGCAUACAUUCACACACUCAUUCACGCCUAGGAGCAGUUUAAAAACCACAUGGACACGAGGAGAACAUGCGAAACUCCACACAGACAGUAACCCGAGCUCAGGAGAGAACUGCAGACCCUGCCACUCUACUACACUUCAGUAUACUAUAAUUACUGUCUAGAUGUCACUAUCCUAUAAUUACUUUAUACACAUGAAACAAUAUGAAUAUGAAGAGGAGGUGCACUAUUCGUUUUUUUUUGUUGUUCUUAUAGUUUUUUUUUCUUUAGAAAACUUGCCAGAAAGACUAGAGGUGUGCAUCGUGACUGGAAUCUCGCAGGAAAAAACAAAAAAGUCACACAAACAGGAGGUUUUUACUUCCAUGCCUUCAUGGUCGAGCGAGCAGUCAGAUAUGAAACAAACAAACAUUGACAUGAAUGUAAGUUACUGCGUGAUGCAUUUACAACAUUCAUUCACUCAUCCUUAGUAACUGCCUGGUCAGGGUGACAGGAGGUUUAAAUUAGACUACUAGUUUGCUUAUAUUUUGGGAAAUAGAACUAAAUUUGUUUAUUGCAAGAAGGUACAAACUCUGUAUAAAAAAAUAAGAAAUGUGUGAGUGGGAUUAAACAAACAGUCCUACGCAUCUUUAAUUAAGACCAAUUAUGAAUUGGAGUGAUGUAGCUGAGGUUGAGGAACAGUCAGAGCCAGAAAUCACACAUCACGCUGACCCUGUUGACGCUUCCACGUCGACGGUUAUUCCAGUGUUUUUAGCAGCAUAUUGGUAAAGUUAAUAUAAAUUUUUUUUAAAUCCUUCUCGUUUAGGCCACACCCACUUCAGAUUUAAAUCCAAAUACAGAUACAGCACUAAAACACUAUUGGGAGCACUAAACUGAUACAGAUAAUGUCACAGCGUUACACCCAGGAUAAUUACACAAUCAUUAAUUUAUACACUUCAGUACACCAUAAUUACAUUUUAAACUUUAGUACACUGAAACUUUAGUACACUACAUUAAAUUCUUACAUUUUAGUAAGCAUUCUAGUAUUUUGAAUUUUGAAGUCAUCAUUCUUGAAGUCAUUCUGCAACUAAGAUAUCUGUAUUGCAUGUGUGUGUGUAUGGUUUUUCACUCCCUAAAAAUGGGUUUAGUAUUAAAAAUACAGGUACUGUUUCUUUCUAGUCAUCGAAAAUAAAAAUGCCAUGGUGUCUAGAAGAGAGAGCAAUCUAUAAUAACAAUGUACUUAUUCAGAAAUUCCCAUUUCUGUGCAUGGUCAGAUUUAAUUCAAGGGGCAACAAGCUGAAUUAGUACAGACAGUUCUACUCUGGCAUCUGCAGAAUAUUACUACUAAUUCAAUUAUUCUAACUCACUGAGUGGAAAGAUGGAAUAAUAAAACUGUGUGGUUGUUCUGAAGACUGGAGCGAGUGUGGAUUCUGGUGCAUUAUCUCUCUCUGUCCUUACAGAUACCCAGCAGUGUGUUUUAGUGUGUGUGUGUGUGUGUGUAUGUGUGUGUAUAUGUGUUGAAGUGGAAAAAAGACUGGUGUGGGAGAUAUAUAGCAUGGUGGUCCUGUGCUCCAUCUUGUUUUAUUGCUUCUCUCCACUAUCUCACUAUCGGAUGUUGGAGAGGGAUAAGAUACGAAGAAGAGCAGAUCGGAAAGAUGGGAUAAAAGCAUGGGCCAGGAAGUGAGACAGAGUGAGAGAGACAGAGAAAGAGAAAGAGAGAGAAGUUGGAAUGGAAAAUACAUGUCUCUGGCUGUAAUCCAACUGUCUAGGAAGUUCCUACUUGAACAAACAGUCAAACACCGAAACAUGAAUCUGGAGGAAGGAAUCAAAGAAAAGAAUGAACGCAUCUGCCUUUAAAUCCUUUGCCCUCUUUUACUCUCAUACAUAUAUCAGUGUUUUUUAUGACGUCAUCAUCCAUAUUCUUUUGCUACAGGAAACACUCAUUUCUGAUUGGCUGGUAGCGGUCUUUUAUUGUCUUAUACUUCAUUUAGAGAUGAUGUGUGAAGGUUUUUACAAAGAUGCUCUGUCUGCCUACUCUCUCCGGUUUCACAUUAGUCAUCAUGUAAGGGUUCGCCAGUACUGCAGGUGGCGCUGUUAAAUUUUCCAGGACAAUUUCUAGGACUACAGUUCAUGAAAGUCACCCAUUUGGAAAUGAAUCAAUGACCAAACAUGUAGCGUGUUCAUCUGCGGACUUCGCCCAGGUGACAUGUCCACAACACGGUGAGCGCAGCUUCCCCAUGAUAUCCAUUUGCUCCUCAGUUACAUCAUAUUCUUCAUGGAAGCCAGAUGCAAAGCCGCAGUGCUGCAGGGUCCUUCUGAACUCUCCGAGCGCUCUGCAGCUCUUUUUUGUUAAUUUUUUUUAAAUGUCAUUUGAAAUGUCAGCUUGAUUUACUGUAAGGCUUCUGCAUUGUUUUAUGGAAAGAUGCUCUGCGAUAUACGGCCACUGAGACAGGGUUCUUCCAAACAGCCCACAGCUGGGGAAAAGUGAGCCUGAUGACGCCAAUAGAAGAGCAGCUCACCUUCCUGCCGGAGAACAGCAUGCAGAGUUGGUGCAUGGAGCCUCCAUUUUUGGUCAGCUCCUUCUUCAGUGUUUUGGGCGAGGGCAGCGUCCAGCCUCCCUUGCUAGCGGUGGUCACCUCCAGGCGG